CGACGCUUGUGAAAUCAACAAUGAAAAUGGCGAAACGAAACUUGUGAAUCGUGCAUUUGCUCUUCAUGGUAGCUGCCAAAAAAUCGAAUCAAACUUAUGGGACACUGGAUUACAGGUUGCUGCCACUACUCCAUGUGCCCGCAAUUGUCUUGCGUGUAUGAUUACACUAACGGCGUCGCCCACCACGGCGGAAGUGUUUUGCGUACACGCGUUUCAGCAUGAAGCCUGCAGGUGGACGUAAAUUGUAGAAGGCAGCUAGUGGGGGAGAAGAUCAUGGUCAUAGGUCAUGUGACUCCUGGAGCUCCCAGUGGGUUCCCUUGUGGAGUACUUUUCAGAACACACACACACACACAGUUUGCUCACAGAACCAACGAGUAGGAUGUUGCUUGAAUACUGAGAGAAAAUGGCGUAACACAUACAAAUAUCGUGUG